rnacentral:rRNA from 1 species
GACGAACGCUGGCGGCGUGCUUAACACAUGCAAGUCGAACGGAAAGGCCCUGCUUUUGUGGGGUGCUCGAGUGGCGAACGGGUGAGUAACACGUGAGUAACCUGCCCUUGACUUUGGGAUAACUUCAGGAAACUGGGGCUAAUACCGGAUAGGAGCUCCUGCUGCAUGGUGGGGGUUGGAAAGUUUCGGCGGUUGGGGAUGGACUCGCGGCUUAUCAGCUUGUUGGUGGGGUAGUGGCUUACCAAGGCUUUGACGGGUAGCCGGCCUGAGAGGGUGACCGGCCACAUUGGGACUGGGAUACGGCCCAGACUCCUACGGGAGGCAGCAGUGGGGAAUAUUGCACAAUGGGCGGAAGCCUGAUGCAGCAACGCCGCGUGCGGGAUGACGGCCUUCGGGUUGGAAACCGCUUUCGCCUGUGACGAAGCGUGAGUGACGGUAAUGGGUAAAGAAGCACCGGCUAACUACGG